UGGCUGAACUCAUUUUCAUUCUUUA
rnacentral:misc_RNA from 1 species